CAGAGCCAGCAGUGGCAACCCGUUUGGGUCCCCUUUCACACUGUGGAGGCUUUGUUCUUUCGCUCUUUGCAAUAAAUCUUGCUACUGCUCACUCUUUGGGUCCACACUGCUUUUAUGAGCUGUAACACUCACCGCGAAGGUCUACAGCUUCACUUGUGAAGCCAGCGAGACCACGAACCCACCGGGAGGAAAGAACAACUCCAGACGUGCCGCCUUAAGAGCUGUAACACUCACCGCGAAGGUCUGCAGCUUCACUCCUGAGCCAGCGAGACCACGAACCCACCAGAAGGAAGAAACUCCGAACACAUCUGAACAUCAGGAGGAACAAACUCCCGACACACCGCCUUUAAGAACUGUAACACUCACCGCGAGGGUCUGCGGCUUCAUUCUUGAAGUCAGUGAGACCAAGAACCCACCAAUUCCAGACACACUGGGACCAGCAAUUCCCCUGUGGCGUGAGCUGGUUUAAAUGCUCUCUCCAGGGACAGGUGUCAGCUGAGUUUGGUCUGCUUAUUAUUUCUGCUUUAACAAGGCAGCACUGAGUUCAAUGCCUUACAACUGCUGAGUUCUCCUCUCCAAUGCACAGAAACGCUCUCCAGACUGCUGCUGCCGGGGGUUGGAGGAGGCAUGGCAUCAGUGAUUCAAGACUCUUUUUCAUACCUCUUCGGUGCUGCUUUCAGUGAUAUGAAGUUAAAACCUGGUAUUUGAUUUAUCCAUACACUAAAGAUAUGAAUGAGGCAUCAAAAGACAGAAGAAACGAUUGAGGCUAUAAAACUUGCCAACUACCUUGACCUUAGCCCAGUGGAACAGAAUUCAGACUCCUGACCACAAGAAUGUCCUCUAGGAAGCAGAAUCCAAGAUAAAGUAAGAAUGUGUGACAAUGUUUGGAGACUUCUGACUGUGAAAGACUGGGCAAGCGGGGGCAGCGAGAGCUUCAGCCCAUAGUAGAGAUGGAAAGAGAAUUGAGUAGAAGAGCCUCAGCCUGCGGUGCAACUGCGAGCGUCUUAGCCUGCCUAAUGGGAGCUUAUGGAGCAGAGGUGACCUACAGAGGGAAAAGCCAGCUGCCAUGUUGUGAAACACUCAAGCAGUCCCGACGGAGCUCCAGGUUGCCAGGAUCUGGAGCUUCUUCCAACAGCAAAGUGGGUGAGGCAUUCUGGCAGCAGAACCUCCAGACUCAUCAACCACCCGAUGAUAGCAGCGAGAGCAACAUGUUGACGGCAGCCUGAAGAGACUCUGAAUCAGACGACCGAGGUAAGCCACACUCAAAUUUCAUACACACACAGGAAAAAUAAUUCAUUCUUCUUUCGACCUGCUGCAUGUGGGGAUAAUUUAUGACAUGGUAGUAGAUAAUUCAGUCACUGCCACCUUCUUCAGUCAUUAUCUGUGGACUGCCUGGGAAGAGUGUGGGAUAGCUCCAACACUGUAGUGGAUCCCGAGCUUGCUGAGCUAGAGGAUAUUAGCUUACUGCUUCCCGAAGGUGACUGGCACAAUCUUUCUGCAAGGAAAGUUUGAGUGUAUACUCUCAUGAUUGCCACAAAGAACACAGGACUCUUUCAGGCAUUUAUUCUUAGCUAAGUCUACCCAUACCUUCGGGAUUUCUUUUGUGUUCGUGCGUACUGUUUUCUAGUUUCCCCCAUGGUCUCUUUAAACAUUUAUUAUUUCCAUUGGGUUGUUUAAAUCUUUUUUUUUUUUUACUAUUAUAAGUGAAGUGUUUUCUCUAAUCUCUAUUGUUUCUACUACAGCGUGUACAUGUGAAGGCUAUAGAUUUCUCAGAACUAAUUUUAUACUCUACUAUCUUACUGAAUAUUUGUAUUGUUUUAAAUGGCUUUCUAGUUUGUUCUCGAGUUUUAAAGUGAUAUUAUUAUAUCACCCUCAAAAUGUGAUAGUUUUACUAAUUAUCUUUACCUAUCCUUCAUCUAUUUUCCUUUUCAAAUUGCAUUAAUCAAUUUUUCUAGUCCAUUAAUAAAUAGUGGUGGUAUCUAUCUUCUUGUCUCAGUCUUCUGUUUAAAGAAAGCACUUUCAGUGUUUUUAUAUUCACCAUUUUGUCUGUGUUUGUCUCAGAAGAACAAUUAUUGGCAAAAAUUCCCAAUGUUUGUACCCUAUAUGCUCCAAGGAAUUUCACCUUUUUCUCCUCCUCAAGAAUUAGGGAGGUUUACUUAAAAGCACAUAGAACUAUCACAAUCCUGUUGUCCAGAUGCCUUGAAGAACACAGAAAACAAAAUAUUCUUAUGCUUUUCUAGUAGGCUCAGAUAUGCAUUUUUUGAUGUUGUUAACUUGAUUAAAUCUAUCUACGAUUUUACUUCUCUGGCCAAUAAAAUCUAAAAUUUAUUAACAUGCAUCUGACUGUGGCUGUUAUGUUUAUUUUAUGUUUUAUUUGUGACCAACAUGCCCAAGGACAAUUUGGGUUUCACUGUUUGAUAAGUGAUAACACUGAUGGAAAAUUAAGAAUUUGAAAAUUCU
rnacentral:lncRNA from 10 species